AGCAGCAGCCGCGGUAAUACGUAGGGUGCGAGCGUUAAUCGGAAUUACUGGGCGUAAAGCGUGCGCAGGCGGUUCGUUAAGACAGAUGUGAAAUCCCCGGGCUUAACCUGGGAACUGCAUUUGUGACUGGCGAGCUAGAGUAUGGUAGAGGGGGGUAGAAUUCCACGUGUAGCAGUGAAAUGCGUAGAGAUGUGGAGGAAUACCGAUGGCGAAGGCAGCCCCCUGGGCCAAUACUGACGCUCAUGCACGAAAGCGUGGGGAGCAAACAGGAUUAGAUACCCCGGUAGUCCCUGUCUCUUAUAC
rnacentral:rRNA from 1 species